AUUGAACGCUGGCGGCAGGCCUAACACAUGCAAGUCGAGCGGAGCUGCGGACGGGUGAGUAAGGCCUAGGAAUCUGCCUGGCCUAGGGGGAUAACGUCAGGAAACGAGCGCUAAUACCGCAUACUACUUGAUGAGCCUAGGUCGGAUUAGCUAGUUGGUGGGGUAAAGGCCUACCAAGGCGACGAUCCGUAACUGAUCUGAGAGGAUGAUCAGGCACACUGGAACUGAGACACGGUCCAGACUCCUACGGGAGGCAGCAGUGGGGAAUAUUGGACAAUGGGCGAAAGCCUGAUCCAGCCAUGCCGCGUGUGUGAAGAAGGUCUUCGGAUUGUAAAGCACUGUAAGUUGGGAGGCGUUACCAACAGAAUAAGCACCGGCUAACUUCGUGCCAGCAGCCGCGGUAAUAC
rnacentral:rRNA from 1 species